rnacentral:rRNA from 1 species
AACGAACGCUGGCGGCAUGCCUAACACAUGCAAGUCGAACGAUGCCUUCGGGCAUAGUGGCGCACGGGUGCGUAACGCGUGGGAAUCUGCCUUUCGGUUCGGAAUAACUCAGGGAAACUUGAGCUAAUACCGGAUAACGUCGCAAGACCAAAGAUUUAUCACCGAAAGAUGAGCCCGCGUAGGAUUAGCUAGUUGGUGAGGUAAAGGCUCACCAAGGCGACGAUCCUUAGCUGGUCUGAGAGGAUGAUCAGCCACACUGGGACUGAGACGCGGCCCAGACCCCAAGGGGGGGGGGAAUGGGGGAUAUUUGAAAAUGGGGGAAAAGCCUAACCCGGAAUGCCCGGGGAGGUGAUAAAGGCUUUAGGGUUGAAAGGCUUUUUUCCCCGGGAGAAAAAGGCCGUAACCGGGGAAAAAGGCCCGGGCAAACCCGGG